rnacentral:miRNA from 1 species
GCCAAAAAGUUCGUUUGGGUUUUUCCAUAAGCUGGUAUGGAAAAACCCAACGAACUUUUU